GCCGAAAUAGCUCAGUUGGAGAGCGUUAGACUAGCGAUCUAAAGGUCCCUGAGUUAAUCCGUGUUUCGGCA